rnacentral:rRNA from 1 species
AGGGCACCACCAGGAGUGGAGCCUGCGGCUUAAUUUGACUCAACACGGGAAAUCUCACCAGGCCCGGACACUGGAAGGAUUGACAGAUUGAGAGCUCUUUCUCGAUUCGGUGGGUGGUGGUGCAUGGCCGUUCUUAGUUGGUGGAGUGAUUUGUCUGGUUAAUUCCGAUAACGAACGAGACUCUGUCCUGCUAAAUAGUUCCCGCGUCCUUUGUUGCGCGGGAAAUUCUUCUUAGAGGGACUGGCGGCGUCUAGCCGCACGAGAUUGACCAAUAACAGGUCUGUGAUGCCCUUAGAUGUUCUGGGCCGCACGCGCGCUACACUGAAGGGAUCAGCGUGUCUUCCCUUCCCGAGAGGGACGGGUAACCCGCUGAACCCCCUUCGUGGUAGGGAUCGGGGCUUGCAAUUAUUCCCCGUGAACCAGGAAUUCCCAGUAAGCGCAAGUCAUAAGCUUGCGUUGAUUACGUCCCUGCCCUUUGUACACACCGCCCGUCGCUACUACCGAUUGAACGUUUUAGUG